rnacentral:rRNA from 1 species
UACAGAGGUCUCAAGCGUUGUUCGGAUUCAUUGGGCGUAAAGGGUGCGUAGGCGGGUCUUUAAGUCAGGGGUGAAAUCCUGGAGCUCAACUCCAGAACUGCCUUUGAUACUGAAGAUCUUGAGUUCGGGAGAGGUGAGUGGAACUGCGAGUGUAGAGGUGAAAUUCGUAGAUAUUCGCAAGAACACCAGUGGCGAAGGCGGCUCACUGGCCCGGUACUGACGCUGAGGUGCGAAAGCGUGGGGAGCAAACAGG